rnacentral:sRNA from 1 species
AUGCAAGCAGCUUGAAAGCGUGGCUCUGCUUAUCUGUUCGACCAUGGCAUUCCUUGCGGGACGUCUUAGUUGCUACAUAAGUCAACACCUCUCAGCUUUUACCGCCUGAUCACAGGCACAGUUAUAUAUGUUACUUAGGAAAUUGAUUAUGUCUGACGUCCGCACUGGCAAGGUAAAAUGGUUCAACGAGACCAAGGGUUUCGGCUUCAUCGAGCAGGACCAAGGCCCGGAUGUGUUCGUACACUUCAGAGCAAUUAACUCUCAAGGUUUCAAGACCCUGGCUGAAGGCCAACGCGUUCAGUUCAGCGUGACCCAAGGUCAAAAGGGCCCGCAGGCUGAAAACGUCACCGUUAU